GUUUGAUCCUGGCUCAGGACGAACGCUGGCGGCGCGCCUAACACAUGCAAGUCGAACGGGACUAUACUGGAAGAAGUUUUCGGAUGGAUUUCGGUAUAGUUUAGUGGCGGACGGGUGAGUAACACGUGAGCAACCUGCCUUCGAGAGGGGAAUAACGGCUGGAAACGGUCGCUAAUACCGCAUAACAUACCGGGAGGACAUCCUGCUGGUAUCAAAGAUUUUAUCGCUCGAAGAUGGGCUCGCGUCCGAUUAGGUAGUUGGUGAGGUAACGGCUCACCAAGCCGACGAUCGGUAGCCGGACUGAGAGGUUGAACGGCCACAUUGGGACUGAGACACGGCCCAGACUCCUACGGGAGGCAGCAGUGGGGGAUAUUGCACAAUGGGGGAAACCCUGAUGCAGCGACGCCGCGUGUGGGAAGACGGUCCUCUGGAUUGUAAACCACUGUCCCCAGGGACGAAGAUGACGGUACCUGGGGAGGAAGCUCCGGCUAACUACGUGCCAGCAGCCGCGGUAAUACGUAGGGAGCGAGCGUUGUCCGGAAUUACUGGGUGUAUAGGGAGCGUAGGCGGGGAUGCAAGUUGGGUGUCAAAACUACCGGCUCAACUGGUAGUCGCACUCAAAACUGCAGCUCUUGAGUGAAGUAGAGGCAGGCGGAAUUCCUAGUGUAGCGGUGAAAUGCGUAGAUAUUAGGAGGAACACCAGUGGCGAAGGCGGCCUGCUGGGCUUUUACUGACGCUGAGGCUCGAAAGUGUGGGGAGCAAACAGGAUUAGAUACCCUGGUAGUCCACACCGUA
rnacentral:rRNA from 1 species